rnacentral:lncRNA from 1 species
CUUUAAUCAGCUAAAAUUUAUAUCCUGAAUCUCCUUCUGAAGCUGGAAAAUGUUCAGUAGGCCUUUCACUUGUCCUCGUAUGCUUUGAAUUCCCAAACAACUAAGUGCAGGGAAGAUAAGUCUGGGAUGUCACUUCACCUUACUCACCUGAAUUAUGCAUCUCAUCUACGUUAUCCAUCCAACUAUCACCUGGGAGAUAGAUUUCUGUAUGUGGAUAGGAACCACUUUUCAAGAAAGAUGCUCCAGAAGACAGCAGACAGCUGAAGGUCAGGGAGAUAACCUCCUGAAAGUCCCUUGAAUUGGGUGGAUGGGGACCAGCCUUCACAUUUUUCCUGCCUAUGUCUCAGAGAGUAUUACCAUGGUUUUAAAACAUCGACAAGCUCAGAUUCAGCACUGCAUCUAAAGGAAAAGAGGGCAAAAAAUAUUCUAAUAACCAUUCUGUUCAGCUUGCAAAAUAAUCUGUGUUGCCUGUGUGUAAGAGUUGUUUUAUAUGAAGUUGUUUUGUCUUGCUAAAGAAAGUCAUGUUCUUCUUCCAAGUGUGUUGAUUUUGUUAUCCUGUAUAGCCUCAAGGAAAUCCCUUGUGAUUACUCUUGGUUCUCCAUCUGUAAAAAGCUGAUCACAACUCUUCCCUUUUCCAUGUAAGUUGCAGAUGGUGUGAAGAGCAAUCCCUAACAUGCAGUAGCUGCACCACAGCAUUCCAAGGGGUCAUCCGCAUCCAAAUAGGGUCCACCACAAGAAGAAAAACGGGGCAUUGCACAUCUUGAAAAGGACCCCCCCAACCAACUCCAUGUAACUCAGAAAUUGUUGGGAAUUUAAAGCCCAGCACAUGAACUCAGAACUUUUCAGCCCCCUAUUUCUCAGCAAAUCUGCAGGACUCAGCUGCCCGGUUUGAACUUUCAAUGCUCACCACUGCAGCUGAUGGCUCUGUUAUCCUUCUCCAUAAACAACCCAUAGUAAAAUCAGCCUAGUCAAUAGAAUAGCCAAGAAAUCUUAAUGUUUCUCCAUCAUUUAAGUGUGAUUUGCUUCCACCAUAAGCCAUUCCAUCCAGUUAAGUGGCUUGCUGUUACUAUUUUGCCCCAAAUGACAUCACCAUUUGGCUUUCUGAGCAUACCUCUUUGGCUCUAACCCCCCUUGGCACUUUUCCCUGUAAACAGGGUCUGAUUAAUGUUGCAGAAGAAGGACUGUGAAUCACGUAUUCCAUUCUCUUAUGGGAAGUCAGAAUGUCAAUUUUUCCUAGUUUUGAGUGCAGAGAAUUGGGAUAUUUAAUGCAAAAAUCCCUAGCAACAACACAGAAACUG